rnacentral:snoRNA from 1 species
UGAUGAUUUAUAUUAAAAACUAAAUUUCUGACACUUCUUGUCUGAAUAAAUACAUUGACGCUAACAAAUAUGUACUGAAGA